UUUGGUAUGCUAUCUGUACGUUAAACCUGGGGGAUAAGGAAAGUUGAAAAACUGCAUUAAGCACUCUUACGUCCAAACGUACUUAGGAGUCUUUUUUAAUUGCUAGGAGGACACUAUGAAAAUUUGGUUCUAGCAGAUGUAAAGGAAAAAAAAUUUAAGCCCAAGCUGUUCAGUCCUGGAAUUUAAAGGACUUUUUUCCCUUUACUUUUCAAAUUUAAGCAAAGAGGCUUUUAAAAAACCAUGGCAGAUGUGGACCCAGAUACACUGCUGGAAUGGCUACAGAUGGGACAGGGUGAUGAAAGGGACAUGCAACUAAUAGCCCUUGAACAGCUAUGCAUGCUGCUUUUGAUGUCUGACAACGUGGAUCGUUGUUUUGAAACAUGUCCUCCUCGUACUUUCUUACCAGCCCUUUGCAAAAUUUUUCUUGAUGAAAGUGCUCCAGACAAUGUAUUAGAGGUGACAGCCCGUGCCAUAACAUACUACCUGGAUGUAUCUGCAGAAUGUACCCGAAGGAUUGUUGGGGUAGAUGGAGCCAUAAAAGCACUUUGUAAUCGUUUGGUUGUAGUUGAA
rnacentral:sRNA from 1 species